rnacentral:rRNA from 1 species
GAUGCAGUCGACGAACUCUGGUAUUGAUUGGUGCUUGCAUCAUGAUUUACAUUUGAGUGAGUGGCGAACUGGUGAGUAACACGUGGGAAACCUGCCCAGAAGCGGGGGAUAACACCUGGAAACAGAUGCUAAUACCGCAUAACAACUUGGACCGCAUGGUCCGAGUUUGAAAGAUGGCUUCGGCUAUCACUUUUGGAUGGUCCCGCGGCGUAUUAGCUAGAUGGUGGGGUAACGGCUCACCAUGGCAAUGAUACGUAGCCGACCUGAGAGGGUAAUCGGCCACAUUGGGACUGAGACACGGCCCAAACUCCUACGGGAGGCAGCAGUAGGGAAUCUUCCACAAUGGACGAAAGUCUGAUGGAGCAACGCCGCGUGAGUGAAGAAGGGUUUCGGCUCGUAAAACUCUGUUGUUAAAGAAGAACAUAUCUGAGAGUAACUGUUCAGGUAUUGACGGUAUUUAACCAGAAAGCCACGGCUAACUACGUGCCAGCAGCCGCGGUAAUACGUAGGUGGCAAGCGUUGUCCGGAUUUAUUGGGCGUAAAGCGAGCGCAGGCGGUUUUUUAAGUCUGAUGUGAAAGCCUUCGGCUCAACCGAAGAAGUGCAUCGGAAACUGGGAAACUUGAGUGCAGAAGAGGACAGUGGAACUCCAUGUGUAGCGGUGAAAUGCGUAGAUAUAUGGAAGAACACCAGUGGCGAAGGCGGCUGUCUGGUCUGUAACUGACGCUGAGGCUCGAAAGUAUGGGUAGCAAACAGGAUUAGAUACCCUGGUAGUCCAUACCGUAAACGAUGAAUGCUAAGUGUUGGAGGGUUUCCGCCCUUCAGUGCUGCAGC